CACCAUGUUGUCAGGGACACAUAUCACGUACAUAUUGAUGGGCAACACAUAAAAAGGAUUGCCCUGUAGUAUGUAGAAUUCAGAAGAAGGUGUAUGAGAUAAAGUAAUUAGGGAAUAAAGUAUCCUGCAGAACAUGCAUUAUACAUACUGCAGGGCACCCUUUUCAUGGUAACCCUAAUUAUACAUGUAUAUUAAUAUAUGUGUAUUGUAAUAAUAUUUACUGUGUACAUAUAUAUAAGCAGAAAAUAAAUCAUACAUAAAAGUUACUAUAACACACAUGUACAAGGAUAAAACUGAUAUACUAUGCCAGUGAUAGACUGAAAGUGUGAGACUAUCACUGAACACCUGGCUAAACCUUCUUUAUCCUGUUGUUGUUAUGGUGCUUGGAGUGUUCCUGUAAUGAAAUGUACAAUUUGAACUAUGCUUUAACAGGGUUAUUCACCAAAGUGAAAAUUGCGGGAAUUCAAAAGGGAAUUCGAG